UCACCCAACAUAAACAAGGUAUUAAUACUACUUUUGGCAUCUAAAAAACAUUGUCCUACAACCCAAAGCUUAAAAGGAAAAUUGUCCGAAAUGACUUAUUAACGUUGCAUACUCAAGAAAAAAUUGAAAGUUGUCAAAAUUUGAAUCCCAAGCCUAGAAAGAUUAAAGUAAAACUAACACAAAAGAAAAUGAAAAUCUAUCUUCUAUCUUUACAAUAAUAUAUGAGAAUGGAAAAAAUGGAUCAUCAGAGCUCCGGCAGAACACGAUGCUAACUGCCUCCACGAACACGAUGACGAACUCUAUGGCAAGUUUCACCACUUGUAUGCAUAUCUCCAAUCUCCCGA